CCUAUUUAUAUUCUUCGCAGCUUUUUGUUCUGUCUUGACCGCUCCUUCCCAUCCCACCAGAUCUCUGAUUCCUCUGCUCUCAUUUCUCUUCGAUUCGUCGCCAAAUCGUUGCCACCGCCAGCUGCCAAACCCUAGAUUCAAAGACGGUUGAAUUCGAGAGGUAGGAGAGAAGAUGGCUACAACGACGACAACGAGUGGUGUGUAUAUCCACGUCAUCGAGGACGUCGUCAGCAAAGUCCGUGAGGAGUUCGUUAACAACGGAGGUCCCGGCGAGAGUGUUCUCUCCGAGCUUCAAGGAAUUUGGGAGACGAAGAUGAUGCAAGCUGGAGUCUUGUCUGGACCAAUUGACAGGUCAUCGGGUCAGAGGUCAACACCUGGAGGUCCACUGACUCAUGAUCUUAAUGUUCCUUAUGAAGGUACUGAGGAGUACGAGACUCCCACUGCUGAAAUGCUCUUCCCUCCGACACCGUUGCAGACCCCACUUCCAACGCCGCUUCCGGGGACUGCUGAUAACUCAUCCAUGUAUAACAUCCCCACUGGCUCCAGUGAUUAUCCAACUCCUGGAUCUGAGAAUGGAAUCCAUGCUGAUGUCAAAGCAAGACCCAGUCCUUAUAUGCAACCUCCAUCUCCAUGGACAAAUCCAAGGCCUGAUGUCAAUGUUGCUUAUGUGGAUGGCCGUGAUGAGCCUGAGAGAGGGAACUCUAGUCAGCAGUUCACGCAGGACCUAUUUGUACCACCUUCCGGCAAACGAAAGCGUGAUGAUUCUUCUUCUACACAAUAUCAAAAUGGUCGGUCUAUACCACAACAGGAUGGUGCAAGCGAUGAUAUGCCUCAGGUAAACCUUGAGGGUGAUUCAUUCUGCAUAACCUUUGUUAGUGAAAGAAGGGUUCCACGAGAUCUCCUCUGCUCAUCUUCAAAGAUUCCUCAAGCUGAUGGGCCAAUGCCUGACCCUUACGAUGAAAUGUUGUCGACACCAAAUAUAUACAGCUAUCAAGGACCCAAUGAAGACUUAAACGAGGGCAGAACACCCGCUCCAAACGAGAUCCAAGCGAGCACUCCUGUUGCUGCAGCACAAAACGAUAUCAUUGAAGACGAUGAAGAGCUGUUGAAUGAAGAUGAUGAUGACGACGAGUUAGAUGACUUGGAAAGUGGUGAGGAUAUGAACACACAACAUCUGGUUUUGGCUCAGUUUGACAAGGUAACUCGCACUAAGAGCAGGUGGAAGUGCAAUCUGAAAGAUGGGAUCAUGCAUAUUAACGAUAAGGAUAUUCUCUUCAACAAAGCAGCAGGGGAGUUCGACUUCUGAGCUUUUGACAAUAGCAAUGCUUAUGGAGAAGCCACUCUCCUUCAGUGUCCAAUGAGGAGAAGAAGAGUGCAGAUUUGGAGAAACAAAGAGACGUGAAAGCAGAGGAAUAGCUCUGCGGUUGCAACUGCAUCACAAGACUGAUGCAAGAAGGGAUUCUCUGGAACACUGUCAAGAGUCUGGAGACGUGGAUGCUUGGCUCUGCAGCCAAGUCAGUGGUAAUCUGAGGACUCGCUCUUCCCAAACAUGUUCACACUAUUCUCCAUGAGUCUUGAGCCAAUGAGUAUACGUAUACAAGUAUAAACCGAGAGAGAGAGAUAUGGAGGAAGGAAAGUGAUGUGAAGAGAAGAAGAAUAAAAGAUAUAAGAUCAGUUGAGGUGUAACAUGUGAGGGAAAACAGAGUUGUGUCUUUGGGCAUCUUUUAGUUUGGACAAAAAGGCCCAAGAUAAGCUCAACUUCGUUGUUGUUAGUUUGCGUCGUUGUUCUGUCCCAACCACCUGGUCUUUGUUUGGUUGAAACGUUUUAAAUCGCUCAUGUUUUAUCCUUAAUACCUUCUUAAUCUUUAAUCAAAGUUAAUUUUCGCAUUU